GAGAGCAAAUUCUAAUUCAAAAAUAAAUACAAUAUUCACAGUAGUGAGAACAAAAAGAAGGUGAAACCAUAGCUUGAUGCCCUGGGGUGGGUAUGGCAACACUAAACAACCUGCAUUGAGAGAGCAAAUUGCCUCACAAAUAUGUAGUAUGAACUAGGGAAGACUGUCGAUUUCAAACACGUGACGGCCAAAUAAGUUGGAAAGUAAUUUGGGAACCUCCAUGUCAAUUUGGCUUUAGGCAAGCGAUGCUAAAAAUUCACAUAAUAAUUUUAGCUUCCCAUAAGCUGAAGACAGUUUGGCCACGACGAGAUUUCAGCUGCAAUUUGGUCAACAGACACUUUCAAUUCUCCAUUACCUUUUCCUACUCUGUCCAGCUCCCAAUCGUAGAAUCCAACAAUUCCAUCACCUUUUUAACACCCUCACUAUUAGCAUCACCAAAAUAACUGCGCAAAGCCUCAUCCAACCUAACUGCCUCCCAUACCCUAGCCUCUCUCAACAAGCUCCUAUAAACCCUUCUCCUUAAUCCAGAACCAGGCACAAAACCCACACCCACCAUAUCCCUCAAAACCCUGAAAGCCUCAAGAAUCAACCCACAUUCGCAAAACCCAUUAACCAAAAGCUUAUACACAAUCUUUUCCACUUUACAUGGAAAGCCAGGCCUGAGCAUCCAUUGGUACACUUUGUAGGCUUCUUUGGGUCUCUUCUUUUUGACAUAUGAGCUAACGAGCAUGACAGUGAUGCGAGUGAGAUGAGGAUGGGCUUGUGGGGUGUGUCUAAGAAUGGUAAGAAGUGACAUGGAUUUGGUCAUGUCAGGUUGGGAAGUGAGGGAAUGAAUCAGAAUGGAGAAAGAUAUGGAUUUGUAAGGUGGAUUUGUGAGAAGGGCAGUAGCAGUUAGGUGGAUUGCUGUGCUUAGAUGGUCAGAAAGGCAUAGGCGAGGGAUCAAAAGAUUGAUUUUAGUUAGCUCUUGUUGUGUUAGCGCUAGUUUUGAAUUGGUGGGUUUCUCAAUUUCACUCGAUGAUGAUGAUGAUGAUGCAUAGGCUUGUUGAAGUAGAGGAGAGAUGAUAAUCGAUUUCUCUGACGGAUGAGAGAAAAAUUGAAGGCGGCGUUGUGCUUGUUUGAGGGAUUGCAUUUUCAAAUUUUUCAC
rnacentral:misc_RNA from 1 species